UACAGAGGGGGCAAGCGUUGUUCGGAAUUACUGGGCGUAAAGGGCGCGUAGGCGGCCUUCUAAGUCGAACGUGAAAUCCCCGGGCUCAACCCGGGAACUGCGUCCGAUACUGGAGGGCUUGAAUCCGGGAGAGGGAUGCGGAAUUCCAGGUGUAGCGGUGAAAUGCGUAGAUAUCAGGAGGAACACCUGUGGUGUAGACGGCUUUCUGGACCAUAGCUGACGCUGAGACACGAAAGCGUGGGUAGCAAACAGG
rnacentral:rRNA from 1 species